rnacentral:rRNA from 1 species
CUCCAGACUCCUACGGGAGGCAGCAGUGGGGGAUAUUGCACAAUGGGGGGAACCCUGAUGCAGCGACGCCGCGUGGGUGAAGGAGUAUUUCGGUAUGUAAAGCCCUAUCGGCAGGGGAGAAGCAAGACGGUACCUGACUAAGAAGCCCCGGCUAACUACGUGCCAGCAGCCGCGGUAAUACGGAGGAUGCGAGCGUUAUCCGGAUUUAUUGGGUUUAAAGGGUGCGUAGGCGGACGCUUAAGUCAGCGGUAAAAUUGCGGGGCUCAACCGCGGCGGGCCGUUGAAACUGGGUGCCUUGAGUGGGCGAGAAGUACGCGGAAUGCGUGGUGUAGCGGUGAAAUGCAUAGAUAUCACGCAGAACUCCGAUUGCGAAGGCAGCGUACCGGCGCCCAACUGACGCUGAAGCACGAAGGCGUGGGUAUCGAACAGGAUUAGAUACCCUCGUAA